CACGAGAGAAAAACGUGUGGCUGUUGGGGGCCUCGGCACCGCACGCGACCCGCAACUUCUCUUCCUUAUCCCUUCGACACUCAUCUCCUAUACCUAUGCAGCCGCGUCUUCCUGCCCAUCCACCUACAACUAGCGAACGCGCUCGCCGCCCAUGGCCGCUGUCAGCUGGAUGCGCCUCGUUUGAAUCCUGUGUGGAUCGCCGGCCGCCCGCAGCCAUGGGCGCGUUCGUCUCCUUGUCCGCCGGCAGCUGGUUGCACGCCUUCUCCAUGGCCACAUCAGCCAAGGGCCCAAGGUCCGUUCUCCCCAUGACCAAGUUGCAAUCGACGAUGACGGCGACGACGUGUUUGUUCUGAAACUAAGGGGUUUGCUGGAAUCAGUGCCCCAAUUAGCUGGAACCAGCUCCUAGAUGUGCUAAAAGGUCGACGCAUUGCCGGAGGGCUGCAUCCAACAUCGUUUGACGCAGGGAGCUACAACCGGCGACUGGGGGGAGCUGCAAGAGGGGGGUGCCUGUGUUUUUCUGAUGCGUCUUUUUUUGCUGAAUUUUUGUUCUUUGCUGGAACCGAUGUAUUGUUUUGCUGGAACUGAGAAUUUUUUUGCUUCGCCGGCAUUUGUUUUUGAUGCGUAGGAGUUUGAUGCAUACGAGAGGUUGCAUCGUGCUGGAACCAAGUCCUAAUUUUGCUGGAACUGGCAUUUGUUUUUGAUGCAUUUGUUUUACUCGAUGCAGAGUUGCAUCGACUUCUUUUUUGGCGGCGAGAUGUGACGGCGACGAGCUGCAAUCGAUGAAGACGGCGACCUCCCAGGAGCGAGACUCUGAGUGCGACCGGUGAAGAAAUUUAGCUGCGACCCACAAUAGAAAUGCUUCAACAAGCGACAUUGCAGCAACGACGAUGACGAGCCGCGGCGAUGUACGGCAGGGGGGGGGGGGGCGUGGCCGGUGGCCGGAGAGGAUUGUCGCGGACCGCGGAGACAACCGCGCUGCACAUCUGGGCCUGCAACUGCCAUCAGAAUUUGGGGGAAGAAAAUGGAUCUGAGAUGGUUGCGGGGGUGGAGGACAGAUGCGAUCCAACGGUGUGUGCGUAUUAAAUCAUAUGGCUGCGCGGGGACAGACCGAAAGUUUGGGCCGGUUGACCGGCGCCUAUUACUGCCCCAAAUGCAACGCAAACUGUUUUCGAACUAACGAAGCCACGGUUUACAUGAAGAGGAAGAAUGCCGGCAGUUGGGAUUCUGGGCUGGAAAAGGAGCAAAUAUUAGAGACCUAUUCUGCACAGCUCCAAAAGUCCUAAAACUUCACGGAAAACGUUUUC